CGCUAUCAUCAUUAACUUUUAUUUAUUACCUUCAUUCGGCUUCGAAUGACUGUUUACCCCUAUUACAACCGGAUGCCCUGCAUUCGGUUUUUUU
rnacentral:other from 1 species